AAAGCUCCCUUCGGGGAGCAAGUAGAGUGGCGCACGGGUGAGUAACACGUAGGUAAUCUACCUUCGGAUGGGGAAUAACAACCGGAAACGGUUGCUAAUACCGCAUAAUGCAGCGGCACCUAAUGGUGACAGUUGUUAAAGCGGGGGAUCGUAAGACCUCGCGUCUGAAGAGGAGCCUGCGGCAGAUUAGCUAGUUGGUAAGGUAACGGCUUACCAAGGCGAUGAUCUGUAGCCGGCCUGAGAGGGCGGUCGGCCACACUGACACUGACAUACGGGUCAGACUCCUACGGGAGGCAGCAGUCGGGAAUUUUGGGCAAUGGGCGAAAGCCUGACCCAGCAACGCCGCGUGAAGGAUGAAAUCCCUCGGGAUGUAAACUUCGCAAGAACGGGAAGAAUAAGUGAGGGUUAAUAUCUCUCGCGAUGACGGUACCGUUUGUAAGCUCCGGCUAACUCCGUGCCAGCAGCCGCGGUAAUACGGGGGGAGCAAGCGUUGUUCGGAUUUACUGGGCGUAAAGGGCGCGUAGGCGACCACCGCAAGUCGACUGUGAAAUCUCCGGGCUUAACCCGGAAAGGUCAGCCGAUACUGCGGGGCUAGAGUGCAGAAGGGGCAACUGGAAUUCUCGGUGUAGCGGUGAAAUGCGUAGAUAUCGAGAGGAACACCUGCGGCGAAGGUGGGUUGCUGGGCUGACACUGACGCUGAAGCGCGAAAGCUAGGGGAGCGAACGGGA
rnacentral:rRNA from 1 species